CGCACGGGGAGGAGGGGCUGCGAAGGGGCAGCGGCGAUUCGCGGCGGCGGCGGGGCUGGAAGUUACCGAGUUGCAGUGUCGCAGAAAAGGGAAGCGAACGAAGCCAAAAUGCCCCAGGGGAGCGCGGCCCCGCUGGGGAGGCGGGAUGAGGGAGCUUGGCCCUCCCCUCAGCCCCCCUCCUCCACCCGCCGCGGCUCCCCCAGCCCCCGUAGCCAGGCCCCUGCCCCUCCUGGGCGCGGGGCUUCGGCAGCCCCGGGCUCUUUCGGCGCUCGGCGGGGCCUCGGGGCGCGGCGGGUUUGGCAUCUGCGCACACGCCGGACUGAUGCAUCUUGUGGCUUCUAGGAGCGAUGGCAAGAGGAGGAGUGUUGUCAACGCGAGUACAAGCGAGGGAUGAUGAUGCCUGCAACCUAUGGCUGAACUGGAGGUAAUUCACUAGCGGAUCAAUAACGUACCGAAGGUUCCUGAAAGGCUGCAACAUUGUACAGAGCCUGAUUAGAGAUUAAAACAUUGCUUUAUUUAAUGUUUGGUAGCUUGACGAUACCGAAUAAACGUUCUGGUUCGUGCUGUAACUGUUUAUUUGCUACUUGCAGUCAUAAAGGAAAGUAAAACCAAAGCAAAUAAUUUUUUGCUUUGUUUAAAGGUAACUAUCGUUACCACUGAUAACUACCUUUAAAAAACAAAUCAGUGUCCGACAAGGAACGGGUAUAAAGGAGCAUUAUUACUUUAUGGUUUGCAAUGCAUCUAUGCUUUUUCAGGUCGAGUUUGGGCCUUGCCAGAACAAACAUAUUUAUGGACAAUAAGAGUGAAUGUAGCAGGGAUCGGUGUAAACAGAGGAAGCUGUCAUUUUUUAGUACUAUUUUGCCCCAUUUACUAACUAAAGUGACUCGUGAGGCAAAGCCGAAAGUAUGUUUGAAAUUAUAUAGGAAUUAGACAAAGAAUGCUGUGUAUGUAGAGACCCCGAAGCUCCCAACUGCAUAACUUUUAACAAAAUUCGAUUUAAAGCGUGUUUUUGUGCAGCUGAGAGGAGGCUGAGUUGAGCAUUUUUACAUGUAUGUUUUUAAGGCUCUGAGGAUGGUGUACGAGCCUGCUGCUUGAGCUUUGUGCUUGGCACAGUGAGAAAGCUGCUGCGACCACGCUUCAGCUUUAUUGCACAAACAUAUCCGUGGAAGGUUAGAGAAGGGAGGAUGAAAUGUCAGGUAUUUCCAUGAAGUCGUGUUAUAAAAAGAGAUAAAAAUCAGAUUGAUGUAGCAGAUGCCGUGUUGCUGAGCAUUUUGACAUACUGUUAUCAAAUGUUCUAAAAAUCAUUAAAAUUAUAAUCCAGCAUGUCGGUUGUAAUCUUCAGGGUAAAUGUGUUUUGUAGGACAAUUUUUUUUUAAGAUGUAAACUCUUGAAUGCUGGGUUUGAUCACUUUAUCUGUAGCCAGGCUCACAUUAUAUAUUUAAAAAUGUAUGUGUGUCCCCCUUUUCCCAGUUUUUCUAACAAUAACUGCUCCGUGUUUCAGCUGUAUUUUAAAUCCACACAUCACAUAAUUGAAGUAGCAAUGAAAUAAUAUUUACCAUCUAAUAAAGAUUGAAAACAUAAAGUGGCUUGUCUUUUAUUAGCUAUGUAAAAUACGUACUGUAGUAUCUCUCCUGGGUGGUUCUCACAACAAAGGGCUACAUGAAUAAUGUGAUUAACAUUUUAAUUUCCCUUGAUGUUUACAUAAAUAUACUUCUGUAUGACAUCACUAAAACUAUAAGCUGAGGAAUACAGAAUUUGUA
ensembl:lncRNA